rnacentral:rRNA from 1 species
CUGCUGCCUUCCGUAGGAGUCUGGGCCGUGUCUCAGUCCCGGUGUGGCCGUCCGCCCUCUCAGGCCGGCUACUGAUCGUCGCUUUGGUAGGCCGUUACCCUGCCAACUGGCUAAUCAGACGCGGGCCCAUCCUGUACCACCGGAGUUUUCAGGGAAAAGCCAUGCGGCUUCCCCCGUUAUGCGGUAUUAGCACCUAUUUCUAAGUGUUAUCCCCCUGUACAGGCCAGGUUGCCCACGCGUUACUCACCCGUCCGCCACUCAUG